rnacentral:tRNA from 1 species
GGCGGGAUAGCUCAGUUGGUUAGAGCGUCGGAUUCAUAAUCCGGAGGUCCCGGGAUCGUGGCCCGGUCCCGCUA